CCCAAAAGCAAAGAAGGUGAAAAUUGGCCUCUCCUCCUCUCGCUUUCUCUAGCCCUUGCUCUUUCACCAACCAAAGCCAAGAGAAAGGAAACGAAAACAAAGACCAAGAACGAAUCCCAAGACGACAGUUGUAGCCACCGUUACCUCCCAAAAGCUUAAAGGAAACCCAGAUCCCACAAUUACAGUGGCAUCAUUUCCCUCCCGUAUUUCUCCUCCUCUUCCUGUGCUUCCUGUCCUCAUCUUUCACAAUUCUUCUCUUUCCC
rnacentral:misc_RNA from 1 species